UGAUGUUAUACAAAUUAAUGGUGUAAUAGACAAUGUUCUUAGCAGGUUACAACCUCAUCCAAAUUUAAAACAACUCUCCAUCAUAAAGUAUCCUGGUGUAACAUUUCCAAAUUGGCUUGGAGAUCCUUCAUUCUUGAAUCUUGGGUCCUUAAGCUUUGGGGUUGUGGCAAUUGCUCAACAUUGCCGCCACUGGGGCAGCUACCUUGUCUUAGACUUCUAGAGAUCUCAGACAUGAAAGGAGUAGUCAGGGUGGGUGGUCAGUUUUAUAGGAACUCCUCUUCCUCACUUUAGCCCUCCUUCCCAUCCCUGCAAACUAUAUCAUUUUAUAAUGUCCAAUUGGGAGAAAUGGUUAUGUCGUGGAGGCAUACGUGGAGAAUUCCCUCGUCUCCAGGAGCUUUCUAUAAGACAAUGUCCCAAACUCAUUGGGGAAUUACCAAUACACCUUCCUUCAUUGCAGGAACUUAACCUUGAAAUAUGUCCGCAACUGCUUGUGUCUGCACUCAAUGUUCUUGCUGCCCGUAGAUUGCAGUUGAAAAGGCAAACUUGUGGGUUCACAGCUCUUCAAACUUCAGAAAUUGAAGUUUCAGACGUCUCUCAAUGGAAGCAACUUCCAAUGAUACCCCACAAUCUCUCCAUUACAAAGUGUGAUUCUAUGGAGUCUAGAGGAGGAAAUCCUGCAAACCAACAUCCACAGUUUAAAAAUUUGUGACUGCUCUUUUUCAGAUCCCCGAGCAAAGUUGGUUUACCCACUACGUUGCAAUCACUAUCAAUCUCUAACUGUACCAAAGUGGACCUUCUUCUACCUGAGUUGUUCAGAUGCCAUCACCCUGUACUUGAAAAUCUAUCAAUCAAUGGUGGUACCUAUGAUAAUUCUCUCCCAUUAUCCUUCUCAAUAUUGGAUAUCUCCCCCAGGUUGACUAAUUUCGCAAUCCAUGGUCUUAGGGGCUUGAGAAGCUCUGCAUUUCGAUUUCAGAGGGCGACCCCACAUCUCUUCGUAAUUUGGAAAUCAGAGGGUGCCAUAAUCUUGUAUAUAAUAUCCAACUGCCUGCUCUGGACUCAAUGGACCAUGAGAUUUCCAGUUGCUCCAAGCUCAGAUUGCUGGUCCACACACACUCAUCUCUGCGGAAACUGAUUUUAAGGGAUUGCUCAGAAUUGUUGUUUCACAGAGAAGGUUUGCCUUCCAACCUACGUGAACUAGAAAUUUGUCGCUGCAACCGACUCACAUCCCAGGUGGAUUGGGAUUUGCAAAGAUUGACCUCUCUUACUAAAUUAACAAUCAAAGGUGGAUGUGAAGACGUGGAAUUAUUUCCCAAGGAGUGCCUGCUGCCCUCUUCUCUGACUUAUAUUUCAAUCUCAGAUCUUCCAAAUCUCAAGUCUCUUUACAGCAGGGGGCUUCAACGACUCACCUCUCUUCUACAAUUAGAGAUCAGGAAUUGCCCUGAGCUCCAGUUCUCCAUAGGAACCGUUCUUCAACACCUUAUUUCUCUCAAAAUAUUACGAAUCUACUUGUGCCCAAGGCUCCAAUUCUUAACAGAAGCAGGUCUUCACCUUGAAACCUUGUAUAUCGUCAACUGCCCUAAGCUCCAGUACUUGACAAAAGAGAGACUGCCAGACUCCCUCUCUCUUAUCUGUAUGUAUACAAGUGUCCUUCACUAGAACAACGGCACCAAUUUGAGAAAGGGCAAGAAUGGCAUUAUAUAUCUCACAUUCCAAAAAUAGAGAUCAAUGAUGUGCUAUUUUAAUCAAAGUGGCACUGCACCAACAUAUCAGCAGCUUCAAGCCUGGGACGAAUUUUGAAUAGCUGUAGAUGAGGAUUCAACCUAGGUGCUCUCAUUUUGAUGCAGAAAAUUCUCAUAUUCUAACGGCACUCACAUAUUCGUGCCCUGUUUUUUAUUUUGCCAUAUGCAUAACCCAAGUGAACCGCUUAAUGACUGUGGAAAAACAUGGAUGCUUUGGUUCUUCCUCACUUUCUUUGUCAUUUCUCUUAUACAGGCAUGGAGGAAACCAUGGAUGGAUUCUAGUUUGCUGCUCAUUAGUAGGCUUUUAAUCUGCUCAACACUCUUGAAGAACUGUACAUGCACACAAGUCAUUGGCUGGUCCGGUUGUUGAAGAUUUGGGCAGGCAACAAACUCUAUUUGUACAUGUUCCAUGUUAAGUAACCAGGAUGAGCAUAGAAGCCUUCUUCUAAGGAACAAAGUUCGAUUAUGACAAUAAAAAAACAUGUGAGCCUAAGCUUAUCGGGAGUCCUCAUAACAAAAGGCUGUCUAUUUUGUAGUAACCACGUGGACCAACUUCAAAAGGCAAGUAGAAAGACAAAUCUUUGUCAGAUGAUCAUUGAGGUCAUUGGCAUGGACCUUGGAGGUGGCAGUCUUCUUGUGCUUGCUUCUCAUUAGUAGAAUUGUCACCGUCAUGCAUACACUUC